rnacentral:rRNA from 1 species
UCCAGCCAUGCCGCGUGAGUGAAGAAGGCCUUCGGGUUGUAAAGCUCUUUCAGCCGGAAAGAAGCGCAUGGGUGAAUAACCUGUGUGGAUGACGGUACCGGAAGAAGAAGCACCGGCUAACUACGUGCCAGCAGCCGCGGUAAUACGUAGGGUGCGAGCGUUAAUCGGAAUUACUGGGCGUAAAGCGUGCGCAGGCGGUUUUUGUAAGACAGAUGUGAAAUCCCCGGGGCUUAACCUGGGAACUGCAUUUGUGACUGCAAGGCUAGAGUACGGCAGAGGGGGGGUAGAAUUCCACGUGUAGCAGUGAAAAUGCGUAGAUAUGUGGAGGAAUACCGAUGGCGAAGGCAGCCCCCUGGGUCGAUACUGACGCUCAUGCACGAAAGCGUGGGGAGCAAACAGGAUUAGAUACCCUGGUAGUCCACGCCCUAAACGAUGUCAACUAGGUGUUGGGGGGGAGACUUCCUUAGUACCGCAGCUAACGCGUGAAGUUGACCGCCUGGGGAGUACGGUCGCAAGAUUAAAACUCAAAGGAAUUGACGGGGAC